UACACUGUUCCCCUGGAACUGGCAUUCUAGAGGAGGGACAGGCAACAAACAAACAGAAAGCCAAAGAAGGAAAACACAGCAGGCUGGAGAGUGGCGCUGCUUCCGGAACUUCUCGGUCUGCAGAGGUGGUGUGAAGGCAGGAGGAGCUGGCUCGGGGUGCAUACCAGGUGGACCUGUGGGUGAAUUGGUUGUAGCUCACCUGGAAAGGAAGUUUAAUCCUCAGGGAGCCCAGGAUCUUCCACCACGUGAGGGCUCCAUCAAGCAGACGCGUACCAGGCCCCGCCCAGAGCACUGGGGUGUGCAGGUGCUGCUCAUGACAAGUUUCCCAUCAAGCCACUCCCCAGGUGCACACAUCUCCAAGGCCGUGUGCCAACCCGCCUCUCCUAGCAAAGAUAUCCACUCAGCCCAAAGGAGACAAGGAGCCCUGGUUCUGAAGGUGACUGACAACCUGACGCCAGACAAGUUAUGUCCUCAGAACGAGCCAGCUUUCUUAUCUGAAAAUGAUGGGCUCGGAUGAACCGAUUUACUGUGUAUCCUUACGCGUGGAAUGAGGCCUAACUCCGGCAUCCUGGGGGCUGGAGGCACGUUCGGAUCGGAAGCCUCGCACUCAGCUCACUUCACCCGAGGCUCAAGGCUCUGGGGAGGAAAGUGGCAGUGCAGCAAGCGUUUGCUGGCUGCCCGCGACGCCUUGGGCCCCGUGCUCAGCACUUGGCCUGUUCACACACCGGGAACUAAGUGAAAGCCCACCGCUCGCAGCCUUGUAGCGCCAGGGACCGUGCGCCCCAAGUCCUGGCCCUGCGGUGGCCCGUGGAGGCACACUCACCACAUUCUUCACUUACUUAAAAAAGUUCUCCCAGUGUUUCAGCUAGGGCCCGAAGCUCCGAGGCACAAAACCCAGUAGAUACUUAGAAGGCACCUCAGUCCGGGUUCUGAGCACCCUGUCUUCCCACUUCCCAUCUGGAAGCCGUCAGAACGAUGGCAGAAACUCUCGGAAAUACUAAGACCAUGGGACUUUGCGCCAGGCAGUCUGCCAGGCAUCUUACACGCUAGAUACUUUAAAUGUCAAAACAACAUGGGACUGGCCACAUUUGCCCAAGGGUUCCUCAGCUGGAACGUGGCACACCCAGGCGACAGGUUCCAGCUCCUGUGCUCCACCCGAGGAAGGUCUCCAGCAACCCCAGGUCUGCGCUCACCCCUGGAGAGCCCGUCCGCCGUGUGAUAAGCUAACGCUGCAAAUUUCCAACAGAGCCACCCACAUGUCCUCUUGCUUCUUUGUUCUAAUUGCCCUGCUUAGGGCAUUUUUGCUAGCUGCCCCCUCACAGUCUCCCUAAGCAUCAAGCCUGUACAAGUCUCUAGAUAUUUACAGCCUUUUACUAUGCACUCCCCACAGGCCUCUUGGCACAACCUCAUCUCUCUAGUCAUCCUCUGCCCCCCAAAUGCUGCUUUGCACACUUUCCCCACACAGGCCAGGCUCUUUCAGGCCUGUGCGCCUGUGACACGCUCUCCCCUCUCUGCCUCACGAGUUCCACAACCUUCGCAAAUCCAGCUCAGACGUCUCCAGUGCGGUAGAAGUCUCCCUUGGCAGCCCAGGGCCAGGCAGCUACUCAGCUCCGUUUCCGUGUUUCCUAAGAACCUUCCAUGCAAACUUUAUUAGAACACUUCCACAAUACGUUAUAGUUGGCUCUUUAUCAAUCUAUCUACUGAACCACUAAGUGCCCUGAGAGAAGGGGCUCCAGCUUGCUCAUUUCUUAUCUAUUCUGCCUAGCCAGUUUCUUGUACUCAUUAAGUGUUCAGUAAAAGUUUGUUAAACAUAUCAAUGGAUAAAUGAAUUCAAGAAUAAACUGUUGCUUGUUUCUUCCCAUCACUGCCAAGUUUGUGCUCUGGCAUAUGGAAGUAGCAAGACACAUGUAAAACAGAUUUGUAU